rnacentral:rRNA from 1 species
GACGUAGGGCGCGAGCGUUGUCCGGAUUUAUUGGGCGUAAAGAGCUCGUAGGCGGCUUGUCGCGUCGUCCGUGAAAACCUGCAGCUCAACUGCAGGCUUGCGGUCGAUACGGGCAGGCUCGAGUUCGGUAGGGGAGACUGGAAUUCCUGGUGUAGCGGUGAAAUGCGUAGAUAUCAGGAGGAACACCGGUGGUGUAAGCGGCUCUCUGGACCGUAACUGACGCUGAGGCACGAAAGCGUGGGUAGCAAACAGG